rnacentral:rRNA from 1 species
UACGUAGGGUGCAAGCGUUGUCCGGAAUUAUUGGGCGUAAAGAGCGCGUAGGCGGUCCGGUAAGUCCGCUCUGAAAGUCCGGGGCUCAACCCCGGGAGGCGGGCGGAUACUGCCGGGCUAGAGUCCGGAAGAGGCGAGUGGAAUUCCUGGUGUAGCGGUGAAAUGCGCAGAUAUCAGGAAGAACACCCGUGGCUAAGGCGGCUCUCUAGUACGGUACUGACGCUGAGACGCGAAAGCGUGGGGAGCGAACAGG